rnacentral:rRNA from 1 species
AUUGAACGCUGGCGGCAGGCCUAACACAUGCAAGUCGAGCGGAUGAAGGGAGCCUGCUCCUGGAUUCAGCGGCGGACGGGUGAGUAAUGCCUAGGAAUCUGCCUGGUAGUGGGGGAUAACGUCCGGAAACGGGCGCUAAUACCGCAUACGUCCUGAGGGAGAAAGUGGGGGAUCUUCGGACCUCACGCUAUCAGAUGAGCCUAGGUCGGAUUAGCUAGUUGGUGGGGUAAAGGCCUACCAAGGCGACGAUCCGUAACUGGUCUGAGAGGAUGAUCAGUCACACUGGAACUGAGACACGGACCAGACUCCUACGGGAGGCAGCAGUGGGGAAUAUUGGACAAUGGGCGAAAGCCUGAUCCAGCCAUGCCGCGUGUGUGAAGAAGGUCUUCGGAUUGUAAAGCACUUUAAGUUGGGAGGAAGGGCAGUAAGUUAAUACCUUGCUGUUUUGACGUUACCAACAGAAUAAGCACCGGCUAACUUCGUG